UAGGGGUGAAAGGCCAAUCAAACUGGGAAAUAGCUCGUACUCCCCGAAAUGCUUUUAGGAGCAGCGUGGAGGUUAAGUCUGUUAGAGGUAGAGCUACCGAUAGGACUAGGGGGAGUCAAAUCCUACCAAAUCCUGACGAACUCCGAAUGCUAGCAGAUAUACUCCGCAGUGAGGGCAAGGGUGCUAAGGUCCUUGUCCGAAAGGGAAAGAACCCAGACCUUCAGCUAAGGUCCCCAAGUGUAUACUAAGUUGAACUAAGGCGGUCCAGUUGCAUAGACAGCCAGGAUGUUGGCUUGGAAGCAGCCAUUCAUUUAAAGAGUGCGUAACAGCUCACUGGUCGAGCGACAGGGCAUCGAUGAUGAUCGGGCAUUAAGUAUACCACCGAAGCUAAGGCAGUAUUUAUACUGGGUAGGGGAGCAUUCUAUUCUGCGAAGAAGGUACCUGGUGAUGGGUAUUGGAGCGUAUAGAAAAGCAAAUGUAGGCAUAAGUAACGAUAAGGCGGGUGAGAAACCCGCCCACCGAUAGACUAAGGUUUCCUGAUCAACGCUAAUCGGAUCAGGGUUAGUCGGGACCUAAGGCGAGGCCGAAAGGCG
rnacentral:rRNA from 13 species